GAUGAACGCUGACAGAAUGCUUAACACAUGCAAGUCAACUUGAACUUCGGUUUGGGUGGCGGACGGGUGAGUAACGCGUAAAGAACUUGCCCCACAGAUAGAGACAACAUUUGGAAACGAAUGCUAAUACCUGAUAUUAUGAUUUUAGGGCAUCCUAGGAUUAUGAAAGCUAUAUGCGCUGUGAGAGAGCUUUGCGUCCCAUUAGCUAGUUGGAGAGGUAACGGCUCACCAAGGCGAUGAUGGGUAGCCGGCCUGAGAGGGUGAUCGGCCACAAGGGGACUGAGACACGGCCCUUACUCCUACGGGAGGCAGCAGUGGGGAAUAUUGGACAAUGGACCAAGAGUCUGAUCCAGCAAUUCUGUGUGCACGAUGAAGUUUUUCGGAAUGUAAAGUGCUUUCAGUUGGGAAGAAAAAAAUGACAGUACCAACAGAAGAAGUGACGGCUAAAUACGUGCCAGCAGCCGCGGUAAUACGUAUGUCACAAGCGUUAUCCGGAUUUAUUGGGCGUAAAGCGCGUCUAGGUGGUUAUAUAAGUCUGAUGUGAAAAUGCAGGGCUCAACUCUGUAUUGCGUUGGAAACUGUGUAACUAGAGUACUGGAGAGGUAAGCGGAACUACAAGUGUAGAGGUGAAAAUUCGUAGAUUUUUGUAGGAAUGCCGAUGGGGAAGCCAGCUUACUGGACAGAUACUGACCGCUGAAGCGCGAAAGCGGGGGUAGCAAACAGG
rnacentral:rRNA from 1 species